GGUCAGGAGAUCAAGACCAUCCUGGCUAACACGGGUCUGAACGUAUGAUGCCAGUGACUGGAAGGAAACACUUAAGGGAUUCAGAGGUGACCUGGAUGUGCUUAGAGUUCUGCUGGUAACCAGGGCCUAAGGAUCUCUUCUUUCUUCGCAGUCCUGAGGUGCUGAAUGAAGGCCAGGAAGUUUCUGACAGCCUCAGCCUUGGAAAGGUUGUCAGGCUGCAGGUAUUUCCUGGUGGACCGCCAGAGCUCCGAGAGCUGCAAGCAAAUUAUGGUAUUACAUCUUGAUGAUUUCACUUUUCUGAACACCAGUAAUACUGAAGGAAAGAGCAUCUCCCUAUAGUUACACACAGAGCAUGAAGCCAAUGGUUUGCUCUUCUGACAAGAGAUUACAGAUAAGGAAAUGCUGGGUGAAGGACAUCCUUUACAGUGGCUCUGGAAGACCUGCCCCACAAUGGGAAUGGCCGUGUACUUUGAAUCAACUGCUUUGAUUAU
rnacentral:lncRNA from 1 species